AAGACGUCGAGAUUUAGCUGCAUGCUAAAGUGCGCUAUUGCCACCUUCAAAGACGUUUCCACCUCUGACAUGGAAUACUCCUUAAAUGUUUGCGCAGGAAGUGGGCCAAUCCAAAGAAUUGGGUGGCCACGCGGGACCUUUGAACCACCGUGACCUUCUGACCUCAUGAAGCCGUCCCCAGGGAGUCGCACCAGGGGCUGUCCCUGUAGUCCCGAGCAGUGAGAAAGCAGUGACAAUCCAACCUAAUCCCUGGGUCUCAUAACAACGUUGCAGAGACUUUGAAGCCACACGAGGAUUACAUGGACACCACAACAGUGAGCGCACUUCACCCACUGGAGUUUCCAAUGUGCCCAUAUCCACUGUCUCUAUUCCUCCCACUCAGCCAAA